ensembl:lncRNA
CAGUGGAUGUCUGAUGGUUUGUUCACCCCUCUUUUUGGUUUCUUCCAGGACCACCAGGUGUGUCCCAGGCCGGACCCCCAGGUCCCUCAGGCUCAUCCGGGUCCAGCGGACCACCAGGACGCCAUGGUUCUCCAGGAAUCAGAGGACCACCUGGGCCCCCUGGUUACUGCGAUUCCUCUCAGUGUGUAGGAAUCCCUUACAAUGGACAGGGAUAUGCAGGUCUGGCAUAGUAUGCAUAGUAAGCUGCCUGUCACCCUUAAAUUUUGAAAUCCUGAAAAAAUAAACCAAUCCUCUCUGAGAGAUCAGCACAUUCGCUAAUAAGCUUUUAAGGAUAACGACCGUGGAUUUGAUUUAAUGAACUUUUGCUGGCCAACUCUAAAACCAAACCAAACCAAAGAAAGGACUGGACUGCCACUAACACCAGCUCACCGCUACUCUAUCAGGCAGGCAUCAGUGAUGGCUACAUACCUGUGGCCUGGUUGCAUCUUGAACUCCAAAGCAGCAAACAGCAAGAUUGAGCUUCCUUUUGCUCAAGAAGCAUGUAAACUACUAACCAUGAGGAUUUCAUAGAUGAGGUCAACAGAGAUGAUAAUGGAUGAGGGUGAGGUGUUUGUAAAUAAACUAUUGAUCCCUUGUAAAUGAAUUUCAGUCACAGUAAAGGGGUUAACAUCUGUCAUCAAGCUUGUGCCUCAUAACUUGCAUCUUGCUGACUGCCAACAUAACCUUUAUAUUUUUUGUUAUUAUUUUCUUAAAUCGCUUCAAUUAAUGAAUACAGCCUCUGCUCAGGUUAUAAAUGUAGCAUGUGCAAUUUGUACAUGUAAUCAUAAUCUCCUUGAUUAUGUUUGCAGAAUGUUGUGUUCAAACAAAUCACAUUUUUCUCUUAUUUUCAUUGAGAUUUAUCUUGUGGGAUAAUAGGCUACCUCGCCGUGCCAUAAGGAACAGAAUUGCUGGUCAAUCUUUACUUCAUCCCAGCACUUGGUUUCUAGUUGUUGUUUUUUUCUGGUUGUACAAUAUACUUUUAAGUUUUAGAUUUAGGCAUGGUAUAGGACUAGCAAAGUUUGUAAACGCAUACAAAGAGCAAGAUUGAGAAACAAUGAAUAAUAUUUCCAACCAGGCCACUACCCACCUCAGCCUGAUACCUACGUAGUGCCAAUUCCAGAGGAAACAUCAGAAGAUACUGUGACAGAGAUACAGUCUCCUGGUUUACGAAACCUGCGUGGAAAGAGAUCACUAUCAAGACAGGAAACAGAGAGGAUAGAAACAUAAACCAAGUAAAAAGUACCUUCAGAUUUUAUUUGCAUGAAGAACAACAUCCAAAGCUAAAUGUCGUUAUUGGAUCAUGCUUCAUGCAUAUGCAAAUUUAACAAGGUUAAGUGGAAAUAAGGCUGCUAUCCAACCCUAAUUUCCUGUUCAUGUUAAGAAACCUGUGUGCUUGCUCACUGUCCCCAAACUUGUAAUAUAAAUCCUCUGUAAGUUUUUAUGCAACUCCUAUUCAGUGCACUAACCCUAAGAUCAGUAUUCAAUGUAAUGUCUUAACGUUAAGAUGUAUAGACUGACCCGAUGGAUUCCACACAGAUCAUUGCAAUUUUUAUAUUGAUUCAUUGCAAUACAAUUUCAUCUUAUGCCUUCGUUCUCAUCAGUGAAGGCUUUCAGAUGUAAUUCCAUUUUCAUUUCUAAAACCUUGUAAGACUUGGCUUUUGUUUCAUUAUCCUAAAUAUUUAUCUGUUGUAUACCAGCUCACAGCUCAUUUUUACCAAAGGUGGAAUUGCAUGACUGUGUUGUAUAUUUAGUAAGUACAUUUUAAAUAUAGUUUUUUUUUUUAAUCGAUCUUCAAUGCAGUUGGAAUUUGAAUCAAUACUGUGGUCAUAGUAUUGCUCCUUUAUGUUUGAACUGCAAAUUGUGAAUUCCACAGCCUUAUUUUCUUAUUUAUUUCUGGAUCAGAAGAGGCAUUUUUCAAUAAAACUACUGAAAAUGUUUAACCUGUUUUACUGAUCUGUUCUGCCCAUUCAAAAUUUUGACAUUACUGAUUCAGUAAGGAUGACAUAAGAAUAAAAUAGUGAAAUGUGCCAAGAACAGCAGGAAUAUGCUUUUUGAGA